GACGAACGCUGGCGGCGUGCCUAAUACAUGCAAGUCGAACGAGAGCGACCGGUGCUUGCACUGGUCAAUCUAGUGGCGAACGGGUGAGUAACACGUGGGUAACCUGCCCAUCAGAGUGGGAUAACAUCCGGAAACCGAAGCUAACACCGGAUAGGUCUUCGAGCCGCAUGGCUCGACGGGGAAAAGAGGCUCAGGUUUCUCUUGAUGGAUGUACCCGCGGUGCAUUAGCUAGUUGGUGAGGUAAGGGCUCACCAAGGCGGUGAUGCAUAGCCGGCCUGAGAGGGUGAUCGGCCACACUGGAACUGAGACACGGCCCAGACUCCUACGGGAGGCAGCAGUAGGGAAUCUUCCGCAAUGGGCGAAAGUCUGACGGAGCAACGCCGCGUGAGUGAAGAAGGUCUUCGGAUCGUAAAGCUCUGUUGUUAGGGAAGAACAAGUGUUAGAGUAACUGUUAGCGCCUUGACGGUACCUAAACAGAAAGCCACGGCUAACUACGUG
rnacentral:rRNA from 1 species